rnacentral:rRNA from 1 species
UACGUAGGGCGCAAGCGUUGUCCGGAAUUAUUGGGCGUAAAGAGCUCGUAGGCGGUUUGUCGCGUCUGCUGUGAAAGCCCGGGGCUCAACCCCGGGUGUGCAGUGGGUACGGGCAGGCUGGAGUGCAGUAGGGGAGACUGGAAUUCCUGGUGUAGCGGUGAAAUGCGCAGAUAUCAGGAGGAACACCGAUGGCGAAGGCAGGUCUCUGGGCUGUUACUGACGCUGAGGAGCGAAAGCAUGGGGAGCGAACAGG